rnacentral:rRNA from 1 species
GACGAACGCUGGCGGCGUGCCUAACACAUGCAAGUCGAACGGAAAGGCCCUGCUUUUGUGGGGUGCUCGAGUGGCGAACGGGUGAGUAACACGUGAGUAACCUGCCCUUGACUUUGGGAUAACUUCAGGAAACUGGGGCUAAUACCGGAUAGGAGCUCCUGCUGUAGGGUGGGGGUGGGAAAGUUUCGGCGGUUGGGGAUGUACUCGCGGCUUAUCAGCUUGUUGGUGGGGUAGUGGCUUACCAUGGCAUUGACGGGUAGCCGGCCUGGGAGGGUGACCGGCCACAUUGGGACUGAGAUACGGCCCAGACUCGUACGGGAGGCAGCAGUGGGGAAUAUUACACAAUGGGCGGAAGCCUGAUGUAGCAACGCCGCGUGCGGGAUGACGGCCUUGGGGUUGUAAACCGCUUUCGCCUGUGACGAAGCGUGAGUGACGGUAAUGGGUAAAGAAGCACCGGCUAACUACGUG